rnacentral:lncRNA from 1 species
AUUGAGCCGUAUCCUCAAGGGUUAACAGCUUAAAGUGAGUUUCAGGCUGAAGAGAAGAGAGAGACCUGCGGCUGUUUCCGCCCACUCGUCCCAGCACAGCCACCAGAGAACGCCGCGUGGUUUGUUGUUUGGACCCUCCCAGAGCCUCUUCCAGAUGCUGUUGGAAAAAAAGAAAAGAAAAGCUGGGCAGCCAGUGUCACAGCCCAGAUGCCAUCUCGGUCUAUCCGCGGAAAUGCAAGCACGCAGCGCCAAGCCCAACCCAGUAGGUGCCAGGCCCUGGGUGCAGGCUUCAGCUUCACGCCACAUCCUCUCUCUCUUUUCAGUCUCUGAGUGACUUGACUCAGCCAGGGAGAGGAGAUACCUACACAUCCGCAUGAAGGCGCGUGGGAGGAAGCCGAGAAAUGACGGAUGGCGCAGGGCCUACUGCAGCCGCACGUAGACUAGCUCCUUCUUUACGGGCAAAACCCCCUACUUGUCUGCAGUGGGAAAGGAGUCCGUUCAGGGCAAGCUCUGAUCGCUGAGCUAUGGAUGUAGAUGGUAACUAGGCGUCUGGAGGUCAUUACACACCAUAUUCGGAUGGUGGAAAUCAUUGCUUAUUUCAGGACACUAAAAUGGUCCAUUUUUAUGUAUUAAAGUUAUUAAGAAUGAACUGGCUGGGCCGGAGUUGUGGCUCACUCCUGUAAUCCCAAGACUUAAGGAGGCGGAGGCGGAGGCGGAGGCGGGAGGAUCGUUUGAGGCCAGGAGUUCAAGACCAGACUGGGCAACAUAGUGAGAUACACACCCCACCGCCACCACCACCCCAACAAAAAACUUAACAAUUAGCUGGGCUUGUGGGUAUGUGACUUAGUCCCAGCUACUCCGGAGGCUGAGGUGGGAGGAUCACUGGAGUCCAGGAGCUCCAGGCUGCAGUGAGCUAUGUGAUUACACCGCUGCACUCUAGGCUGGGCAACAGAGGGAGACUCAAAAAAAAAAAAAAAAGAGCAAAUGGCUGGCUCACUGUAAGGAAUUUUGGAAUUUUAUCUGGUUAAAACAGGCUCUUCCCGCCCACUUCCUCACCCGCCUGGCUGUGCCUGCCCCAGUCCCACCCUGAGUGGUGGCUUACCCAGGUGUGGCCGCCCUGUGGUCAGCUCAGGAGGCAUCUCCGGGUGGGAAGGUGACUUAGUUGUCUCACAGUAAAGUUACACUGGGCCUCAGUAGAUAGUCUUUGGUCCCCUGUAUCAGCAUCCCCAGAGAGCUGUGCAAAUGCACAUUCCUGGCCCUAUGGCACUCUAAGCUGGACUCUGGGAGUGGCAGCUCAGAAGCUUUAGUAUAAGCAAGCUCCCGGCUGUUUCUUGUUGCAGAUUAGGGUUUGAGAACCACUCCUCUUUCGCCACAUUGUAAACUCACUAAAUGCUCUCCUAGUGAGUAAAUAAAUAUAAUAGAAUCUAACUCCUGCAAAGGUAUUAACCAGUCUGUCUAACAAUGGUGGACAUUUUUGUAAAGAAACUCUUGAAGUUUUCAAAACUUAAGUUUAAAAUGGCAGCUCCUUGGUUUGUGGGGAGAGCUGUCAGAGUGGGAACCCUGUCCACAUCCCCCCAGAUAUUCACAUACACCCACUACUCAUAGACUCCCAAUCCCAUGGCGAAGAACACGAUCUUGUUGGUGUUAUUUUCUCACUGCCUACCAAGCUGCCCAGCAGGCACUUUACAGACUUUAUCUCCAUAUUCAUAUCAGCGUACAAAGUACAAGUCCCAAUUUCCAGACAAGGAAACUGGGGUUCAGAAAGAUUAAACAAUUUGCCUUCUUAUAUUGCUACUAAGGGCCAAGGUGCAGAUUCAAAUCCAUUCAAGUCCCAAAGCUUGCAUGAUCUUACCACAGUCACCAAAAUCUAUUUCAUAAGUUCAAAAUGGCAUCAGAGGUUCAUAAUCAGGACAGGCAAUGCCCUGCAGGUUUAUCUAGAACACCUUUCCCACUUUACAGAUAAGAGGCAAUGCAGUAUGAACCUGAGGCUAGCUGAUAUGAUUUGUCUGAGCUGCUUAGUUUUGUUUAAGAAACUUGAAUUAUUCAAUAUUGAAAAUCCUUGAGAUUUUACACUAAAACUCAGACUUUUUCUCUCUUAUAAAAGCAGAUUUUUGUAACCCCGAACCCCAUUCCUGAUUCUGUUCAUGGUUAACUGUAUAGGUUUUGAAAUCCACAGACGUGGGUUUGAGUCCUGG